UGGGGAAUAUUGCACAAUGGGCGCAAGCCUGAUGCAGCCAUGCCGCGUGUGUGAAGAAGGCCUUCGGGUUGUAAAGCACUUUCAGCGGGGAGGAAGGCGGUGAGGUUAAUAACCUUAUCGAUUGACGUUACCCGCAGAAGAAGCACCGGCUAACUCCGUGCCAGCAGCCGCGGUAAUACGGAGGGUGCAAGCGUUAAUCGGAAUUACUGGGCGUAAAGCGCACGCAGGCGGUCUGUCAAGUCGGAUGUGAAAUCCCCGGGCUCAACCUGGGAACUGCAUUCGA
rnacentral:rRNA from 1 species